UACGUUCCCGGGCCUUGUACACACCGCCCGUCAAGCCAUGGAAGCUGGGGGUGUCUGAAGUCGGUGACCGCAAGGAGCUGCCUAGGGUAAAACUAGUAACUAGGGCU
rnacentral:rRNA from 1 species